GUCAGAGUGGAACCAGUAAAACCUUAGAAAGAACCAACAGAAUCUCUUGCAAGAUAGUGCUUCCCACUUGCAUGGCUUCUGUACCAGCCAUUAUCUAAAGGAGUUUAUAUUUAAAUUAAGCAGAAGUAAGAAUUUAAUAUUUUUCCUUACUUGCAACCUAACAAGUUAGCCUGCUGCAGUCUCACUGAUACUGUGUCUUAGUCAGUUCAGGAUACUGUAACAAAAAUACUAUGGACCAAAUAACUAAAAACAGCAGAAGUUUAUUUUUCACAGCUCUAGAAGUUGGAAGUCUAAGAUCAAGGUGCCAGCUGGUUUGGUUCCUAGUGGGGAGUCUCUUCCUGAUUUAUAGAUGGAUACCUUACAUCCUUUUACGUCUAAACUUUCUUGCAUUGUCUCGCACAUGAGCUUUCGGGCUCUAUCCUGAGUGAAUUAAUGUUGAUUAUAAAAAGCAUUAGGCUUAUGAGGUCCAUUUCUUUUUCUCACCUUCUCUUUGCCUUUCUGCCAUGAACUCAUCUUAAAAAUUAUCUCCCCAAAACUCCACCAUCAGAUAUCAAAUUGAGGAUGAGGGCUUCAACAUGUGCAAUUUGAGAGAACAUAAACAUUCAGUUUAGAGUGUUGGUAAAAGAAAGAAGUCUCCUGGGUUAGAGACAAAUCUCAGCUUAUUACUCAUUUUAUUAUUUCACCUAUCACAGGCAAUACCUGUAAUCAGAUAAUCAAAAUUUUUGUACCAUUCCCUGAGCCCAAAUUCCCACAAGGUGAUGUGAAGGGGGCCAUAUGACAUAACACACAGUGGAUUUAGUAGCACACAGGUCUCUUGAAAUCCUGAACUCAGGGAAAGGAACAUUUUAUAAUAGUCAGUAAACAAAGCUACCUUCUACUUUGUAGAAAACACUAUCUCUGUCUUCCAAGGCUAUGCAAACGUUCUUGAAAAUAUAGUCUGGAACAAAGAGCAAUCAGUGCCUUUGAUUUUAAGACAUGCAGAAAUGCAAGUGACUUAUGGCAAAUUAUCUCUCAAAAGUUUAUUUUCCAUUUCUUAGUCUCUAUUUUUUUUAUUCCCUGUCCAGUAUUCCUGCCAUCCUAUCACCUUGCACUUAUGACCAAAAUUACACAGAGAAAAAUGUCCAAUGUAUUAUUUCUGUGGUCAGUGUUACUUAAUGGUCAAUUUGGAUCAGCUUUAAGGCUGACUGAUCAUUAGUGCAGAAACUGGUUAUUAAGGCUGUCAAAAAUAACAGUCAUGUGAAAACAACCUACAGAAAAAAUUUUUCCCUUAGAACCAUGGUUUGAGGGUCAAUGAGUAAAGGCUGACUCAGGUGAAGCUGGCCCAGAUGGUCAGGAUCUGGAGACCUUAGGAUUCAGUUCCAGAACAAUGGACUGAGUUCGGAGUAGCAGCUGAGCAGCCAUAAGAGCAGCAACUGAAACUAUAAUCUAAGGAGCUACAUUAGAGAAAAAGCCCCUAAAAGACUGGCAUUUGGAUUAUUUUCUGCUUAGCCUGGCACCUAGAUUCAUUUUACACCCUUUUGGCCUCUCUAUAUCCUCUGAGUGGUCUGCUUCUAGGAAUGCCAUUGCAUUCUCAAUGGCACCAAGGGGAUUGAAAGAUUGAGGGGACAGAAAGAUAGGAAAUUUCUUUUCCAUAUUUUGCUUGAGCCAUGCUUCUAAUAGCAACUCUCUACUGCUAAAAGAGCAGCUCUAGCUCCUGCCAGCAAGCC